ACUGCUCCUAGAGGCAUUUCAGGUGUGGCAGCUGUGUCACAUGCAUGUCAGUAGGUGGCAGAGAGGAGAGAGGCCAUGUCAAAGCUCAGUGUUCUGACCUGUGACCAUCUGAAUGAUUAGCAGACUAACAUU